CCUUAAGUUUAAAAUCAUAAUUUUUCAAGAUAAGGUUCUAGUCUUAGGAAUGUUGCUUAAGAACCUGAAAUAGAAUGAUACUAUUAUUUCAUCCUGGUAUUAAAAUCUCUAAAAUUUUCUACAAAACUAACAUUCUAUGUGUUCUGUGGCCAAUGUGAUAAUAAAUCCUUGCAUAACAACAGAGAAAAAUAUCCUAUACAUUUGUCUUACAUUUUUGCAAAAUAAAGAAAAUAUUUUGGAAUUAAACUAAUUUCAAAAUCCAAGAAUUUCUAUGAAAGAAUUUUUUAGCAGUAACCACAGAUGAAAAGAAUAUCAUUUAGUAUCUCUUCAUAGUGUCUUUAUAACAUAAUCUAAUCAUUGGUGUUUUAUAAUCUUUCAUAAUUUUUCAUAUAUUUGAUAAAUCCUGAUGUUGGGUUUAUUUCUGUUGAAACACCAGUAAUUGUUUUAUGUCACUUUGACUUUUUUCUAUAGUUUUGUUUUCUGCUUGUUUAUCUAAAUUAUCAUCAUAGUUGUAAUCUGAGAACUAGGCAAACAUAGGUACUUUUGACUAUCACUUUGGGGUGAUACUAUUUACCCAAUAUGAUUUUUUCCCAUUUUACUCUUGAAGUAUCCUGUUGCUUACUCUUUUGUGUAUGCAUACAUUUGAAACAUAUGACCUCCCAAGCAUUCUACUUUCUCUUAUUUUACUUAUUGUGUUGGCUUUACUGUUUAUGUAUGAUUUAACAUAAAUAAUUAUUUUGUUUUCUCUCUCCCAUCACCCACCCCAUUUACACGUUACAACAAGACUUCAUCAGCCCUGGGGUCAUGAUUUGAAUUAUAUUAUCUGUGCCAUUAAACAACCUUGAGCCUCAAUAAUAUCUGUUCAGAUUUUUUCAAUGGCUAUUGUUCAUUGAUAAUUACAUUCUGGGGACAUGCCAGAAUGAAAUCUCAUGGUUUCUCAGCCACAAAGAUUUGUUAAGAAUCAAAUUCAAAGGUAUUUGACUUGGUAUUUAUGAUUCAUGGCAAACCCAAGCAUAAUCUUUAGCAGAUCUUUAAGCUUCCUGAGCUUAUAAGCAAACUCUGUGUGUGUCUGUGUGUAUGUGUGUGUGUUCCUAUGUGGGUAAAUUUUUCUUGAUAGCAUCUCUGUGCUUUCAUCAUUAUCAAAAAGUUUCAGGACCCCAAAAUGGUUAAGAAACACUGACUAUGUGCUAGUUACAUUUCAAGAAUAUAUUUCUACAUAAAAAUGUUGUAUUUAUUCUAAAGGCAAAAGCCAUGGAACAAUGUGUACUUUUAAAAUAUUUAUGAGGAAUUAAAAAUUCAAUUAUUAUAAUUUUUCCAUUUUAAAAUUUUAGGAUGUGAUUUUGUAAUAGCCUCCAAAAAACAUUUAAAGCACCCAAGUAAUUAAACUAGUAAAAGUUCCUUAUAAACCAGAAAGCAAAACUAUUUUCCAAAUGGGC
rnacentral:lncRNA from 10 species